rnacentral:rRNA from 1 species
GCGUGUGUGAAGAAGGCUUUCGGGUUGUAAAGCACUUUCAGCGAGGAAGAAGGCCUCUGGGUUAAUACCCCAGAGGAAGGACAUCACUCGCAGAAGAAGCACCGGCUAACUCCGUGCCAGCAGCCGCGGUAAUACGGAGGGUGCGAGCGUUAAUCGGAAUUACUGGGCGUAAAGCGCGCGUAGGUGGCUUGGCACGCCGGUUGUGAAAGCCCCGGGCUCAACCUGGGAACGGCAUCCGGAACGGCCAGGCUAGAGUGCAGGAGAGGAAGGUAGAAUUCCCGGUGUAGCGGUGAAAUGCGUAGAGAUCGGGAGGAAUACCAGUGGCGAAGGCGGCCUUCUGGCCUGACACUGACACUGAGGUGCGAAAGCGUGGGUAGCAAACAGGAUUAGAUACCCUGGUAGUCCACGCCGUAAACGAUGUCGACUAGCCGUUGGGACCUUUAAGGACUUAGUGGCGCAGUUAACGCGAUAAGUCGACCGCCUGGGGAGUACGGCCGCAAGGUUAAAACUCAAAUGAAUUGACGGGGGCCCGCACAAGCGGUGGAGCAUGUGGUUUAAUUCGAUGCAACGCGAAGAACCUUACCUACCCUUGACAUCCAGAGAACUUUCCAGAGAUGGAUUGGUGCCUUCGGGAACUCUGAGACAGGUGCUGCAUGGCUGUCGUCAGCUCGUGUUGUGAAAUGUUGGGUUAAGUCCCGUAACGAGCGCAACCCUUGUCCUUAUUUGCCAGCGAUUCGGUCGGGAACUCUAAGGAGACUGCCGGUGACAAACCGGAGGAAGGUGGGGACGACGUCAAGUCAUCAUGGCCCU